UACGAAGGGGGCUAGCGCUGCUCGGAAUCACUGGGCGUAAAGCGCACGUAGGCGGCUUGUUAAGUCAGGGGUGAAAUCCUGGAGCUCAACUCCAGAACUGCCUUUGAUACUGGCGAUCUCGAGUCCGGGAGAGGUGAGUGGAACUGCGAGUGUAGAGGUGAAAUUCGUAGAUAUUCGCAAGAACACCAGUGGCGAAGGCGGCUCUCUGGCCCGGGACUGACGCUGAGAUGCGAAAGCGUGGGGAGCAAACAGG
rnacentral:rRNA from 1 species